rnacentral:rRNA from 1 species
UCAAGGACGAACGCUGGCGGCGUGCUUAACACAUGCAAGUCGAACGGAGUUAAGGAGCUUGCUUCUUAACUUAGUGGCGAACGGGUGAGUAACGCGUGAGGAACCUGCCUUUCAGUGGGGGACAACAGUUGGAAACGACUGCUAAUACCGCAUAAUGUAUCGAGAAGGCAUCUUCUUGAUACCAAAGGAGCAAUCCGCUGUAAGAUGGACUCGCGUCUGAUUAGAUAGUUGGUGGGGUAACGGCCUACCAAGUCGACGAUCAGUAGCCGGACUGAGAGGUUGAACGGCCACAUUGGGACUGAGACACGGCCCAGACUCCUACGGGAGGCAGCAGUGGGGGAUAUUGCACAAUGGAGGAAACUCUGAUGCAGCAACGCCGCGUGAGGGAAGAAGGUUUUCGGAUUGUAAACCUCUGUUUUUAGUGAAGAAUAAAUGACGGUAGCUAAAGAGGAAGCCACGGCUAACUACGUG